rnacentral:rRNA from 1 species
UACGAAGGGGGCUAGCGUUGUUCGGAUUUACUGGGCGUAAAGCGCACGUAGGCGGAUUGUUAAGUCGGGGGUGAAAUCCUGGAGCUCAACUUCAGAAUUGCCUUCGAUACUGGCUUUCUAGAGGCUGGAAGAGGUUAGUGGAAUUCCCAGUGUAGAGGUGAAAUUCGUAGAUAUUGGGAAGAACACCAGUGGCGAAGGCGGCUCACUGGCCCGGUACUGACGCUGAGGCGCGAAAGCGUGGGGAGCAAACAGG